GCACUGGUGGUUCAGUGGUAGAAUUCUCACCUUCCACGUGGGAGAACUGGGGUUUGAUUACCGGCCAAUGUA
rnacentral:tRNA from 1 species